rnacentral:lncRNA from 1 species
GCUCCGCCACCCUCCCUCUCGGCCCACCGCUGCCCCUCAGGAGGGGCCGGUCCAGCGCCCUCCUGGCCGCGCUUCCCAGCCACGAAGGAGGCACUGCCGUCCUUGGAGAGCCACCGUCCACGCCACCCGGCCUGCAAGUCUCAGCAGAAGGUCCCGCCCUCGGGAGGAGUCAAGGAAUGUUCUGGAAGCUGAGGAGACCUGGAGACUGAGCCAGGCCCCCACGGAGGAUCGGGGUGGGAGCGAGACAGGCAGUGCCAAGGACCCCUCUGCCCGGGGACGCUGGAUCCCUCGUUCCACACAGUGACGCCUUCCUCCGGCCCAGCAUUCCCAGCACCCAGGGCACAGCAGAUGGCUCUCAGCUCUGCACCCCAACACUGGGAGCCAGCAGGCCCCUGAACUGAAGGUCAGCACCUGCUGAGGGCUCUUCUGCCUGCAGGUAGCAUUCACAGAGAAACACACAAGUCCCAGGAUGUGUUACAUCUGAUGGUUUUCAUAUGCUAAGGAACCCUGACCAUCCUGAGACAAAUCCUACGGGUGAUGCUGUGCGAUCCACUCCAUGAGUGACAAAGCC